rfam:Macrostomum lignano uti_cns_0008037, whole genome shotgun sequence.
AUUGACGUCUUAUCUGACAGUACUGGAAAGCUAAUUGGCUUAGCAAAUCUAGCUAUUUAAAGCAAACGCCCUCGCUCUAAUACUGUCAGGUAAUGAUGUCUAU